rnacentral:lncRNA from 1 species
AGGAGAAGUCCAUGCUGAUAUUUCCCCCGAGCCUCCCUGGAGGGAAGCUGGGUCCUCAGAGGAACCACUGGAGACCCCCCCCCCACGGCGUUGACACUCCUUUCUGGCUUAUUUGGGGUCUUUUGGAGACAAAGUCUCACUCUGUACUCCAGUAUGGUCUGAAAUUCAUUCAUGGCAAUGCUCUUGCCUCAGCUUCCUGAGGAUUCCUAGGAUUACAGACGCUCUCUCUCCCACUGAGUGAGAUAAGCUGGCAAGUGACUGCCAGGGUCCCUCCUGUCACUGCUCCUCCAGCUCCAGGAUGAGAGGCACACACAACCACCCAGCCUUUUCCACAAGCGCCUGGGAUCCUCAAUACCACAAUCUGUGGCAUUCUGGGCAUGUCCUGCUCAUGGUUGUGGCCCAAGUGUAAUUUGUGGACAAGAGAUCAUCUUUUCUGAUGUGUCAGCUGACCAAUCAAAUCAUAAAAAUAAAAAAGAGCAAGGCUGGAGCCAAGCUCUGUGCACAGGCUGGGUCGAGUCUCCAGAGCAGGAGCAGGGCCAGAACUUCAGAGCCAACCCAGGGGACUUGACACCCUGACAUCCC